rnacentral:sRNA from 1 species
AUUGGCAUCCAUUCAAUAUUUAAUUUAUGUUUGGAAAUGCAAGAAAAAGGCAUGCAUUCCUGACAAGUCAAUGAUUGGUUGCACCUCUUAAAGAUAACUUUCUCUUAUGAGAAAAGAUGAGAUUCUUGGACUCCUGCAUAGCACCACCAGAAAGGAAAAUCCCAUCAUGUUGCAAAAUAAAAGUCUUGGACCAAUUUUAA